rnacentral:tRNA from 1 species
AGAACGUUAAAUAGAUAUUGCUAUGCCUGGUUACGGCCUAGGAAGAUAGUCGUUUU